GGAGUUGUAGCUCAGUGGUAGAGCAUUUGCCUUGCACAAGCAAAGUACUGGGUUUAAUCCUAAGCACCA
rnacentral:tRNA from 1 species